GCUGAGACAUGCGCCUAAGGAGAAAUUGCCACCGAGUGACGUGCCAGCGCUACUACUUGAUUGAGUGCCAGCACGUAGCUGUGCUUUCAGCAAGAAUUUCACCAUUGGGAGCCGGUGCCUUUCGAAGCACUUUCACGUGUGAACCGAAGUCGUCUUGCCCAAGACCCACGGAGACCUACCUAUAGUGACGUCAAAGUACUAGUGAGCAUGGAGGUUUGGUUGAAAUUGGUUAUGAUGACGUCGAGUUGGCGGCGGAGGAAGACUCGGCAUGACGGCCAGAAAAUGGUGUGGAACGUAGUGGUAAUAGUACGCGCCCCGCUCCGAAACAAAGAAAAAGGUGCGUGCCGCACUCACGAGGGACUGCCAGUGAGAUACUGGAGGAAGGUGGGGAUGACGUCAAGUCCGCAUGGCCCUUAUGGGCUGGGCCACACACAUGCUACAAUGGCAAUGACAAUGGGAAGCAAGGCUGUAAGGCGGAGCGAAUCCGAAAAGAUUGCCUCAGCUCGGAUUGUUCUCUGCAACUCGGGAACAUGAAGUUGAAAUCGCUAGUAAUCGCGGAUCAGCAUGCCGCGGUGAAUAUGUACCCGGGCCCUAUACACACCGCCCGUCACACCCUGGGAAUUGGUUUCGCCCGAAGCAUCGGACCAAUGAUCACCCAUGACUUCUGUGUACCACUAGUGCCACAAAGUCCUUUGGUGGUCUUAUUGGCGCAUACCACGGUGGGGUCUUCGACUACGGUGAAGUCGUAACAAGGUAGCCGUAGGGGAACCUGUGGCUGGAUUGAAUCCUUC
rnacentral:ncRNA from 1 species